rnacentral:rRNA from 1 species
UUAAAUUGAAGAGUUUGAUCAUGGCUCAGAUUGAACGCUGGCGGCAGGCCUAACACAUGCAAGUCGAGCGGUAGCACAGAGAGCUUGCUCUCGGGUGACGAGCGGCGGACGGGUGAGUAAUGUCUGGGAAACUGCCUGAUGGAGGGGGAUAACUACUGGAAACGGUAGCUAAUACCGCAU